AGAAGCUGGACUGAAUCUGUCACACGUAU
rnacentral:piRNA from 1 species